AGGAGCCCCGGGAGCCCCAGGGAGAGAGACUCCGAGCUCGCCAAGGGAUUUGCCCGCUGCAGAGCGCGGAAGCCGGCACCCGGGUACUUAUCCGAAAUUGGCCUUCCCGUGGUGCUGCAGGGCCCUUGGUUGUGGGCAAAGCCCCACCUUGCAUUUUUGCCACAUAGAUUUGAGACCAAUAAUUGAAAAGGAAGAUAUGAAAUUAUGCUCCAAUCAAUCUUGACUGUUUACUGGACAACAAUAUUAGAUACUGGCCAAGUCUCUAGCGAACAGGCAUGCAGCCUGGCCUUCAUGAAUACGGACUGUGGUACCAACAAGACCCCGGAAGACUACCUCUGUAUCAACUUGCCCCUCUACUUUCUGGGAAGAGAAAUGUGGCAGCCAUUGGGUCCCUAGGAUGCAAUUGUUAAGGUCUUAGGCCUUAUUCCAUGAUAAAAUUGCCAAUGGCACUGCAGAAUUGAAAUCAAAUCGGGAGCUGGAUUCAUUAUGAAUAUCCAGAUACAGAUUCAAGAACAGGGAACAUCUAUUUUCCUUGUUGCUGGACUUGUUUGGCGGGCAGCAUUAAUCAGCAGGAGUCAAACAGAAUUGGGAAUUCAUGUAGGUUGCAAAGUACAUCCCAAAGUUAAAUAUAAUUAUUCUUGUGUUAUCUGUUGUUCUACUUGUUUGUUUACUUAUUUUUAAGCAGACACUGUUUAUCUGUUUGGAGAGAAGCAUUAACUGUGUGGUCUGUGUCCCUUACCUG